rnacentral:rRNA from 1 species
UACGGGGGGGGGCAAGCGUUGUUCGGAAUUACUGGGCGUAAAGGGCUCGUAGGCGGCCAACUAAGUCAGACGUGAAAUCCCUCGGCUUAACCGGGGAACUGCAUCUGAUACUGGAUGGCUUGAGUUCGGGAGAGGGAUGCGGAAUUCCAGGUGUAGCGGUGAAAUGCGCAGAUAUCAGGAGGAACACCGAUGGCGAAGGCAGGUCUCUGGGCCAUAACUGACGCUGAGAAGCGAAAGCGUGGGGAGCGAACAGG